rnacentral:tRNA from 1 species
ACUCUUGUGACGGAAUUGGUAGACGUGUUAGUUUUAGGAGCUAAUGUCCUGUACGUAUGGGUUCGAGUCCCAUCAAGAGUA